GACGAACGCUGGCGGCGUGCUUAACACAUGCAAGUCGAACGGAAAGGCCCUGCUUUUGUGGGGUGCUCGAGUGGCGAACGGGUGAGUAACACGUGAGUAACCUGCCCUUGACUUUGGGAUAACUUCAGGAAACUGGGGCUAAUACCGGAUAGGAGCUCCUGCUGCAUGGUGGGGGUUGGAAAGUUUCGGCGGUUGGGGAUGGACUCGCGGCUUAUCAGCUUGUUGGUGGGGUAGUGGCUUACCAAGGCUUUGACGGGUAGCCGGCCUGAGAGGGUGACCGGCCAACAUGGGACUGGGGUACGGCCCAGGCUCCUACGGGAGGCAGCAGUUGGGAAUAUUGCACAAUGGGCGGAAGCCUGAUGCAGCAACGCCGGGGGCGGGAUGACGGCCCUCGGGUUGUAAACCGCUUUCGCCUGUGACGAAGCGUGAGUGACGGUAAUGGGUAAAGAAGCACCGGCUAACUACGUG
rnacentral:rRNA from 1 species